UUUGCACCAUCCCAUCCAUGUUGGAUUGUUUUAUGUCUUGGCUACCUGGAUAUACCAGAGUUGAGCCAUUGGAGUGUGUUGUGGUGAAUUUGACACGUAACACUUCAUAUCUUGUUUCGUUGAUUCCCGUUGAUCCAUAGCUCCGAUUGUAAUGUUCUUUAUAUGGUUUUGCAUCGUUUUCACGAGACGCACCUGAUCAUGUCAUUCUCAUUCAUGUGAAGAUAUAUUAGGAUGAAGUUAUGUCCAGGAACAUGUAUUACUUCUCAUUCUUGUGCUAGUGAUAGAAAUAGUGAUGCAUGCUCAUAUUCAUCU
rnacentral:lncRNA from 1 species